rnacentral:rRNA from 1 species
AGUCGAGGGGCAGCACAUGAAGUAGCAAUACUGAUGGUGGCGACCGGCGCACGGGUGAGUAACGCGUAUGCAACCUACCUACAACAGGGGAAUAACUCGUUGAAAGACGGACUAAUACCCCAUAAUACAGGGAUCCCGCAUGGGAAUAUUUGUUAAAGAUUUAUCGGUUGUAGAUGGGCAUGCGUUCCAUUAGCUAGUUGGUGAGGUAACGGCUCACCAAGGCAACGAUGGAUAGGGGAACUGAGAGGUUUAUCCCCCACACUGGUACUGAGACACGGACCAGACUCCUACGGGAGGCAGCAGUGAGGAAUAUUGGUCAAUGGACGCAAGUCUGAACCAGCCACGUCGCGUGAAGGAAGACGGCCCUACGGGUUGUAAACUUCUUUUGUAAGGGAAUAAAGUGAGCCACGUGUGGCUUUUUGCAUGUACCUUACGAAUAAGGAUCGGCUAACUCCGUGCCAGCAGCCGCGGUAAUACGGAGGAUCCGAGCGUUAUCCGGAUUUAUUGGGUUUAAAGGGUGCGCAGGCGGGGGAUUAAGUCGGCGGUGAAAUUUUGCAGCUCAACUGUAAAAGUGCCUUCGAAACUGGUUUCCUUGAGUGUAGAUGAAGUAGGCGGAAUUUGUGGUGUAGCGGUGAAAUGCAUAGAUAUCACGAGGAACUCCGAUUGCGCAGGCAGCUUACUAAACUACUACUGACGCUCAGGCACGAAGGCGUGGGGAUCAAACAGGAUUAGAUAUCCUGGUAGUCCACGCAGUAAACGAUGAU